GAGUUUGAUCCUGGCUCAGAACGAACGCUGGCAGCGUGGAUAAGACAUGCAAGUCGAACGAGAGAAUUGCUAGCUUGCUAAUAAUUCUCUAGUGGCGCACGGGUGAGUAACACGUGAGUAACCUGCCCCCGAGAGCGGGAUAGCCCUGGGAAACUGGGAUUAAUACCGCAUAGUAUCGAAAGAUUAAAGCAGCAAUGCGCUUGGGGAUGGGCUCGCGGCCUAUUAGUUAGUUGGUGAGGUAACGGCUCACCAAGGCGAUGACGGGUAGCCGGUCUGAGAGGAUGUCCGGCCACACUGGAACUGAGACACGGUCCAGACACCUACGGGUGGCAGCAGUCGAGAAUCAUUCACAAUGGGGGAAACCCUGAUGGUGCGACGCCGCGUGGGGGAAUGAAGGUCUUCGGAUUGUAAACCCCUGUCAUGUGGGAGCAAAUUAAAAAGAUAGUACCACAAGAGGAAGAGACGGCUAACUCUGUGCCAGCAGCCGCGGUAAUACAGAGGUCUCAAGCGUUGUUCGGAAUCACUGGGCGUAAAGCGUGCGUA
rnacentral:rRNA from 1 species